rnacentral:rRNA from 1 species
CAGUAGCCGCGGGAAUACGAAGGGGGCUAGCGUUGCUCGGAAUGACUGGGCGUAAAGGGCGCGUAGGCGGAAUGCUUUGUCGGGCGUGAAAUUCCAGGGCUUAACCUUGGGGCUGCGUUCGAGACGGGUAUUCUAGAGUGGAGAAGAGGGUCGUGGAAUUCCCAGUGUAGAGGUGAAAUUCGUAGAUAUUGGGAAGAACACCGGUGGCGAAGGCGGCGACCUGGUCUUUUACUGACGCUGAGGAGCGAAAGCGAGGGGAGCGAACAGGAUUAGAUACCCGAGUAGUCCCUGUCUCUUAUAA